AGAGUUUGAUCCUGGCUCAGGAUGAACGUUGGCGGUGUGCCUAAUACAUGCAAGUCGAACGGUGACGAUUUUGUAGCAAUACGAAUGAAAUCAUAGUGGCGAACGGGUGAGUAACGCGUUGGUGAUCUGCCUCGAAGUGUGGAAUAACUUCCCGAAAGGGUAGCUAAUACCGCAUAGUCUCUCAAGGUUUAGAAAAUUGAGAGUAAAGGAUUUAUUCGCUUCGAGAGGAGCCUGCGUCCCAUCAGCUAGUUGGUAGGGUAAUAGCCUACCAAGGCAAUGACGGGUAGGGGACCUGAGAGGGUGGCCCCCCACAAUGGAACUGAAACACGGUCCAUACACCUACGGGUGGCAGCAGUAGGGAAUAUUAGAAAUGGGCGAAAGCCUGAUCUAGCAACACCGCGUGUGCGAUGAAGGCCUUCGGGUUGUAAAGCACUUUUUGGAGGGAAUAGGAAGGAAGGUACCUCCAGAAUAAGUCUCGGCUAACUACGUGCCAGCAGCCGCGGUAACACGUAGGAGGCAAACGUUAUCCGGAUUCACUGGGCGUAAAGCGCGUGUAGGUGGUUCUGUAAGUAGGGCGUGAAAGCUCCCGGCUCAACUGGGAGAGGCCGUACUAAACUGCAGAGCUAGAGGAUGGUAGAGGGAGGUGGAAUUCCAGGUGUAGUGGUGAAAUGCGCAGAUAUCUGGAGGAACACCAGUGGCGAAGGCGGCCUCCUGGACCAUUCCUGACACUCAGACGCGAAAGCUAGGGUAGCAAACGGAAUUAGAGACUCCGGUAGUCCUAGCCCUAAACGAUGCAGACUAGGCGUCGGCGGUUUAAUCACCGUCGGUGUCCAAGCUAACGCGAUAAGUCUGCCGCCUGAGGACUACGGCCGCAAGGCUAAAACUCAAAGGAAUUGACGGGUCCCCGCACAAGCAGCGGAGCGUGUGGUUUAAUUCGAUGCUCCGCGAAGAACCUUACCUGGGUUUGACAUAACAGUGGUAGAGAAGUGAAAACGGAUCGACCCUUCGGGGAGCUGUUACAGGUGUUGCAUGCCUGUCGUCAGCUCGUGUCGUGAGAUGUUGGGUUAAGUCCCGCAACGAGCGCAACCCCCGCAUCCAGUU
rnacentral:rRNA from 1 species